AUUCCUAUGAAAGGAGAAAGCAAUGCAAAAUAAUGAAAAUUUUCCACUGCUUUUCAAAUAGUAACUCUAUGAAUUUCAUUCUGAAAACAUACAACUUAUUAAUUAAUAUGACUCUAGUCACAAUAAAGUUGAUUAAAAAAUUUCAUUUUCAUAAUGCUUAAAAUUUCGGUCUGUAUUUUAUGAAGUGCGUUGAGUCCCAGAAGCUAUUUAGCGCUUUUUGCUGCUUCUAGUUGGCUUUAUCAGUGCCGAAAGAAACUUUUUGAUGUGCUUUACUUAUUCAUACUUGAGGGCGAGAGGAACAUGUCAAAGUUGUCAAGUCGCGAGUGGCCUGGGGGAAUGUUUAAGUGGUUCUCACUUUAUAUGCACAGCCUGGGGAGGGAAGUAAUUUUUCGGACACUUUUGUGAAUUUAUUAUGCUGUCAUAGAUUUAUUGUUUGUCUUUUGGAACACAACUAUCAUGUGCCUAAAAUAUACAGAUUUUUGUGUA